rnacentral:ncRNA from 1 species
GGUCAAGAGCAUCAGCGCCAAGCCCCGGCUCGCUGAUCGGCAACCCUCCAGCUGCGGUGGGGUGCUCCGGGUGAGGACCGGGCGUUCGAAGGACGAACGCAAGCGCAACUA